GGGGAGUUCCGGCAGCGGGGCUUCGGGAACAGCGGAGGAUGCUGUCGGACUUGGAGUUAAAGUCAGUUCCUGAUGGAACAGGAUUAUGUCCUGCCGCUUGCUACAGGUGUUUUACACGUGGAUAUUCUCCUGCCCGUAGGUAUUGCUGCACUUAGUCCUCAUUCAUGCGAGUAAAGCCAUUACAGUGCGAGAGGCUUCUUUUGCAGUCAGAACCACAGUAAUGAAGCCUCACGCCACUGUCCCUGGGACUUGAACUCCAUUUGGAUCUGCAAGUGUCGGCUCCAAAGUGGAACUGACUGAAAGUUUGGAGCUCACAUGUGGAAUGGCAAGCCCCUCCUGCCUGCUCGCAGGAUCUUUACAGUAGUCAGUGCAAGUGGCUACAAGGAAGGGAAAAAAUCCUCUGGUACUGCCUUAAAUGCAAACACUGAACCUUUGUUACACAUGGAGGAAAACCUGCAGGCAAAACUGGCCCAGAGAGUGCCUCAAGGCACUUGCCUUCUACAAGGUGGAUGGACAGAGUACAAACUGAUUUAUUUAUCAGACGAAGCACUGAGAGGCACUUUCACACAGAGAAAUGAGUUCUGGAUCCCAUUUUUCCUCCCUGCUCUCUUCACUGCUUCAUGGAAGGAAAACAGGCCAUGCCUACCAAGCAGCAACUUAUAAUAACCAUGCUCAACUCAACAGUGUUUUAUCAUGGAUUUGGUUGACAGAUUUGGUCAAAAGGUGAAAUUACUCCCAUGGAGAAAAAAGGUGGCAGCUCUGUAUCAUCUGUGACAGAAACAGACACAAUUCUCACCUUAGCUUUGCGUGCUUCCUGUGGACCAGCACUGCCCCAUACUUAUCUCUAGGUAGCUCUCACCUGUACUCACCUUAACCAGACAAACUUUUCCAUGGUGCGAAAUGGACAGGGAUAAACCUUGUCUUCACUGGCACAUCAAAGCAGACCUGCAACUCACCUUCUUUGCUGUAACCCUUUCAAUAAAUUCCAGUUUAUGCAGUUAAUGGAUGGACAGAACCAGCUCUGUCAUUGUUAUGACAGAGAUGUGUUAUGUGGUCAUUUACAAUAUCAGUUCUGUAGGGCUUUUUAUUUUAAUGUGAGUUUUCUUUUUAAAAAACAGUAUAUUGAAAAUUUAUGCUUCAAAUAUAAACCACUUUAUGGGAUCGUAAUUUUAACAGAGCUCCAAAAUAAAGUUUUGCCAAUGGAAAAGAGUAAAUCUAUCAGGGAGAAAUAAACAUAUUCUCAUGCUCACUGCUACCAUUUCUAUUGUCAGAGAGCUUCCUGUAUCCCUACAUCAUAAAGACUUAGAACAGUAUAGCCUAGGAGUUACUGGUAAAAAGAUUUACUAUGUCAUCCUAUUUACUACAACAGUGUGCUUUGUUCAGUCUAGAGGCUUCUUCCAUUUCACUCAGAAUAUCAUGUGAACUAAAAUAACUCAGAGUCAAGAAAAACUUCUAGACUGUAUGCUGCAGUUUAUCCCAUCUGUUUCUAAUUUAAUCAUACUAAUUAGCUGAGCUAUCAUAAAUACAUUCUCCUUCUGUCAUUGCUGUUCACAUUCUCUGUAUUUAUCUGCAGAUGCCAGGAGCACUUAUUUGUUCCAGCUACACGGCAAACAUUGUUGAGUCAGGAACCCUGCUGUGAUAAAACUUCCCUGACAAACAGCCACCCUCAGGGAAAAAAAAACAGUGCCCAGCUCAGUAACAAGUGGCAACAGACUAUCAGGUGGUGACAAACACUCCAAGAUUUUACAUCUAACAGUUUGUCACUCUUCAGCAGUUCAAAGCAAAGAUUUUCAGGCGCCCAGGACUAAUCCUAACUCUUUCUAAAAAUCUUUACUGGCAUAUUUACCACACAGUUUAACUCUGUGUUAUCUAUUAUGUGUAGGGAAAUGGCAAAUAUAAGAGGGAAUGUGAUUACAUAUGGUACUAUGGUACUAUUUUGUAGCCAGGUAGAGAGGAACAGUGCCCCUAAACUCCUGGGAUCACAGACAGGAGCUGCAACAGGUCAAAAAAAAAAAAAAAAAAAAAAAAAAAAAAAAAAAAAGGAAGAACAAGAGAGUACUCUUAAAAUUUUGACAGUUUUGUCUAAAAUCACAAUUCAGUGCCAUCUAGUUUCUACACAACAACAUCUCUUAAACAUAUGAUUUGUUUGGAUACAGCAGUCACAAAAUUUAGCUUGAGAAACUUCACAGAAAAACAUUUAAUUUCUAUUUUCUGUUUCUCUGUUGAUAUUUCAUACACUAUAAUCAGGUUGUCAUAAUGACGCUUGUUAUUAAAAAUGGAUAAAUAAAUAAUUUAAA
rnacentral:lncRNA from 1 species